rnacentral:rRNA from 1 species
ACAUGCCUACAACAUAGCAUUAAUGCACCAGAUCCCAUUAGAACUCCACAAUUAAUUAUGCUCGAGGUAGAGUAGUACUCAGAUGGGUGACCACCUGGGAAGUCCUAGUUUUUUACAUGCC